UGUCUUGCAACCCAGCUGACCGGAGGCAAAGGAAAGGUGACGUUAGUGCCAGGAAGACCUGACUCUCCGGCCUGGCUUGGACCUAACAGGCACCCUGGCAUCCCAGGACACCUACCUAUGGAUACGCUUCCCCCACCACUGUCUCCAACCACCGUGGUUUUCUAUCCAAACACGCAGGCAGGGGCCAGUCAGACCAUCCCAUGCUAGCCUCGAGCGCCGGUAACAAUCAGCCAGGGGAGUGACAGGGUUGUGAGACUGCUCACUGGAGCCCCAGAUGAGAGGGCUGGUGGACAGAAGAGUCUGUGUCCUUUCUGGAAAUCCCCACGUGUGGAAAUGAAAUCUUCGACACAUCCCUGCUUUCCCAACAUAUAAGCUCUGUGGAUUAAAUAAUGCUCAUCUC